ensembl:misc_RNA Metazoa_SRP Metazoan signal recognition particle RNA
GCUGGGUGUGGUGGCGUGCGCCUGUAAUCCCAGCUACUCAGGAGGCUGAGGCAUGAGAAUUGCUUGAACCUAGGAGGCGGAGGUUGCAGUGAGCCAACAUUGCAUCACUGCAUUCCAGCCUAGGUGACAGAGCAAGACCCUGUCUCAA